GUGGGGAAUAUUGCACAAUGGGCGCAAGCCUGAUGCAGCCAUGCCGCGUGUGUGAAGAAGGCCUUCGGGUUGUAAAGCACUUUCAGCGAGGAGGAAGGUGGUGAACUUAAUACGUUCAUCAAUUGACGUUACUCGCAGAAGAAGCACCGGCUAACUCCGUGCCAGCAGCCGCGGUAAUACGGAGGGUGCAAGCGUUAAUCGGAAUUACUGGGCGUAAAGCGCACGCAGGCGGUUUGUUAAGUCAGAUGUGAAAUCCCCGGGCUCAACCUGGGAACUGCAUUUGAAACUGGCAAGCUAGAGUCUCGUAGAGGGGGGUAGAAUUCCAGGUGUAGCGGUGAAAUGCGUAGAGAUCUGGAGGAAUACCGGUGGCGAAGGCGGCCCCCUGGACGAAGACUGACGCUCAGGUGCGAAAGCGUGGGGAGCAAACAGG
rnacentral:rRNA from 2 species